rnacentral:rRNA from 1 species
ACUUGAAAACUAAACCUUGAUUAGUAGGAGUUAUAUUCUGAAACUUAAAAAGUUUGGCGGCUUUUAAUAAACUCAGGGGAAUUUGUAUCAUUAUCGUCACUACGCGCUAUACCUUACUUAGCUGUAGUUUGUAUACCGCCGUCUAAGUAAUCUCCAAACAGAUUAACUACAAUUAGCUAUAAAAACGUCAGGCCAUGGUGCAACAUAGCUAAGGUGACUACAAAUUACAAUUUAUAUACAACUGGAGUUAAAAUUAAAAUUUUAAUGAAAUAGGACUUGUAAGUAAUUACUAAAUUAGAAUAUAGUAAUAAAUAUAAAAUAAAAGUGUACAUAUCGCCCGUCACUCU